rnacentral:rRNA from 1 species
UACGGAGGAUGCGAGCGUUAUCCGGAUUUAUUGGGUUUAAAGGGUGCGUAGGCGGAACAUUAAGUCAGCGGUAAAAUCGAGGGGCUCAACCCCGUCGUGCCGUUGAAACUGAUGUUCUUGAGUGGGCGAGAAGUAUGCGGAAUGCGUGGUGUAGCGGUGAAAUGCAUAGAUAUCACGCAGAACUCCGAUUGCGAAGGCAGCAUACCGGCGCCCAACUGACGCUGAGGCACGAAAGCGUGGGUAGCGAACAGG